rnacentral:SRP_RNA from 1 species
CGGCAAGUCCUACACAACCAGCUCCCUUUGAACCCUCCAGGGCAGGAAUGCAGCAAAGGUAUUAGGUUGUAGCGGUGUGAUGUAGGUAGCUUGCCAUUU